GCCGCAGUAUAUUAACUGUGCAAAGGUAGCAUAAUCAUUUGUUAUUUAAUUGAUAACUUGUAUGAAUGGUUUUAUAAAAUAUAUUCUUUUUUUAUUUUUUAUUUAUAAUUUUAUUUUAAAGUCAAAAAGCUUUAAUUUUUUUAUUAGACGAUAAGACCCUUUAAAACUUUAAUUUUUAUUUAAAUAAUAUUUAUUGAUUUAUAUAUAUUAAUUUUAUAAAUAUUUUUGUUGGGGUGACAGUUAAUUUUUAAAAACUUUAACUUUUAUUUAUUUCAUUUAUUUAUGAUUUUCUUGAUCCAAUAUUUUUGAUUAUAAGAUUAAGUUACUUUAGGGAUAACAGCGUAAUUUUAUUGGAGAGUUCUUAUUAAUAAUAAAGUUUGCGACCUCGAUGUUGGAUUAAA
rnacentral:rRNA from 1 species